GGUUGCUUGUGAUUUCCUUCUCUACUACUUACUGCGAAUUGCCCGGGGGGAGUACACGUGAGGUAUUUCAGUGGCUUGGAUGUACUUUUACUCAAGAAGAACCCAGACUUCUCCUCUCAAAAUUCAGAUGAUAGGAAGUGACAUUUCAAGAAAGUCCUAAGAAGUUUCUACCCCAUCUAUAAAAAAAUUAGAGGAUCGUGCCUGGAAGUUCGAGUUGGCUAUUUAAAAUCAGCUCCUUAGGUCAAAUCUCGACAACUAUGAAGUGCAAUAAGAAGAGUCCUUUUUUCCUCCCUAAAG